UACAGAGGGUGCGAGCGUUAAUCGGAAUUACUGGGCGUAAAGCGUGCGUAGACGGCUAUCUAAGUCGGGUGUGAAAGCCCCGGGCUCAACCUGGGAAUUGCAUUCGAGACUGAAUAGCUAGGGUACGGUAGAGGGAAGUGGAAUUUCCGGUGUAGCGGUGAAAUGCGUAGAUAUCGGAAGGAACAUCAGUGGCGAAAAGCGACUUCCUGGACCAGUAC
rnacentral:rRNA from 1 species